rnacentral:rRNA from 1 species
CCUACGGGGGGCAGCAGUGGGGAAUAUUGGACAAUGGGGGCAACCCUGAUCCAGCCAUGCCGCGUGUGUGAAGAAGGCCCUCGGGUUGUAAAGCACUUUCAGUGAGGAAGAACGCCUGGUGGUUAAUACCCAUCAGGAAAGACAUCACUCACAGAAGAAGCACCGGCUAACUCCGUGCCAGCAGCCGCGGUAAUACGGAGGGUGCGAGCGUUAAUCGGAAUUACUGGGCGUAAAGCGCGCGUAGGUGGCUUGAUAAGCCGGUUGUGAAAGCCCCGGGCUCAACCUGGGAACGGCAUCCGGAACUGUCAAGCUAGAGUGCAGGAGAGGAAGGUAGAAUUCCCGGUGUAGCGGUGGAAUGCGUAGAGAUCGGGAGGAAUACCAGUGGCGAAGGCGGCCUUCUGGACUGACACUGACACUGAGGUGCGAAAGCGUGGGUAGCAAACAGGAUUAGAUACCCCUGUAGUC